UAGGGAUCUGUGGUAGGGAUUUGUAGAGUAGAGGGGAGAGAAAAUUUCGAACUUAAAACCAAAAAUAAAAAUUUAUUUAUAUAUUAGAUUUCUGUCUUUUAUAUGCUGUGAAUACUGUGAUGUACAUUUACUCUAUUCUGAUAUAAAAUAGACGUGCGUAUGUUUAACACUUUCAGACUUUCAAGACAGUGUUUCCAAAAGUUUUUAUUUACUUCUGCAAAUUCAAAAUUUAAAUUUCAUUUAACAGCAAGCAAUAGAAUGGCAGAUAAAAUAGAUAAAGAGGAACUAAGAAAGAAACUAACACCUUUACAGUAUCAUGUUACACAAGAGAAAGGCACUGAAAGACCAUUUUCAGGAUGUUACAAUAAAGUUUACGAUGCUGGUACUUAUGUCUGCAUAGUCUGUCAGCAGCCCCUUUUUACCUCAGAAACCAAAUACGAUUCAGGUUGUGGUUGGCCCGCUUUUAAUGAUGUAUUAGAUCAAGGAAAAAUUAAACUCACUCCAGACACAAGUGGAGUCGGAGCAAACCUUUUACUCCUCAUAUCCCAACCAGGCCGCAUCAGGACGGAGGUGACCUGCGCCCAGUGCGGUUCCCAUCUAGGCCACGUGUUCAACGACGGACCGGCACCCACCAAGAAGAGGUACUGUAUUAAUUCGGCAUCGAUGGACUUUAUACCGCACCAAAAAGCCGACGGUGAUAGCUAGGAUUAAGAACAAUUUUAUGUUUGCGUACUUAAAAUGGUCUUGUUUUGUUGUUUUUAGUUUAUAUAAAAAUCUAAAUUAUAUUAUAUUUUAAAUUGUUUCAGAAAAAAUUGUAUUUGCUAUACCGGUAGUCUCAGUAACCCUGUUUCAGUGGAAUGCCGUAUAAUUGUAAAGGUAGUAUCAGACAUAGCUACUUUUGUUGCGCAGCACAUUAAAAAAUGCGCAACUUGAUCUGCUGCAAGUGUGAAUACCUAGGCAACCUGCAACGUUGCGAUCGCAGCUUGGUUGCGUAGGCUACUUUUUUGUUGCGCGCAGUUUAAGAAAUAGCCGUGUGUGAACUGUUGUUGAGGAAGGUUGCAAGUGCAGCAAAAUAUUACUAAUCAGUUGAAACUUUUACUGCGGACAUCGCGUUAAGGUAGUAUCAGACAUAGCUUUUUUUGUUGCGCAGCACAUUAAAAAACUGCGCAACUUGAUCUGCUGCAAGUGUGAAUACCUAGGCAACCUGCAACGUUGCGAUCACAGCUUGGUUGCAUAGGCUACUUUUUUGUUGCGCGCAGUUUAAGAAAUAGCCGUAUGUGAACAGUCGUUCAGGAAGGUUACAAGUGCAGCAAAAUAUUACUAAUCAGUUGAAACUUUUACUGCGGACAUCGGUGCAGUAUUCUGUUGGUAUGCCCAAAAUGUAUACACUUUUUUUCAGUUAAGUCCAGGAUUUAUAUGUAGGUAUUUAGUUAAGAAUUAACCGACAAAUUGCGAUGUCGUCGAAGUCAAAACAAGCGAUUUGGAACAGAGAACAAGUAAAAUGUUUAAUAGGAGUAUUUUUGGAGCGUAAAAAGUCCAUUCUAUCACAACCAAAAGAAAAGACGAGCCGCUAUUUUGGAAAUUUCUUCUAAAUUACAUAUGCCCGAUGAAGACAUAAAAAAGGAAAACUACACGUUGCGUGCACAAUAUUCGAAAGAACGUUCAAAAAUGAAAAGUUCCAAAUCCGGUUUGCUCUUCCAAAAGGUACACACACGAUACCUUGAGCUGUGGGGUGGUGUACUGUUGAAUGUUG
rnacentral:misc_RNA from 1 species